rnacentral:lncRNA from 1 species
UAGAAGUGCAUGUAAUCUGUGUUUUCUGAUGCUUUUAAGCAGGUUUUCACGCCAAGUCUGUUCUGUUUUUGGAGCUUUCUUCAAUGGAUGCUGGUUCGUCUUUUUCCUGGUCUUUGGUGCUUUUUUCUCAUAGCUGUAGCAGGCUUACAUCAUUCUCAGGAUGCCAUCUACUGUUCCUUGUGACUUUGUAAUUUGCUUGUGCUGCUGGUUUUUCUUUCUGUUAUAGGCUGUUUUGCAUAUUAAUAUCUCUUUUCAGCAGUACCCUGUAGCAGUUUUUGUAUCCCUUCCUCUAUGGGGGGUAUAGGGUGUUGUCAUAUUGGAUCUAGGCAUGCCUUGGUUGUUAAAAUUGAAGUUUUAAGACUCCAACAGCCUGUCUUUUGUGUUCUGAUGCAGGAGGAAUGUGUUUUCUGUUUUAUUGGAAAACUUGGAAGACUCAUUAUGAUGCAAAGGUUUUUGCAGCUUUGGAGGGAAUGGCAAGAAUUGGUCAAUCUGUGUUUUGCUGUUGUUGGUGUUUUAGUUUAAAGAAGUUGUUGUUUUGAGAAUAUGUUCUUCUUGGCUUACCACCUAAAAUAGAUUGUUUUGUAAACGGAUUGACAUAUUUCUCAAGUAUUU